CACUCCUACGGGAGGCAGCAGUGGGGAAUAUUGCACAAUGGGCGCAAGCCUGAUGCAGCGACGCCGCGUGGGGGAUGAAGGCCUUCGGGUUGUAAACUCCUUUCGCUAGGGACGAAGCUUUUUUGUGACGGUACCUAGAUAAGAAGCACCGGCUAACUACGUGCCAGCAGCCGCGGUAAUACGUAGGGUGCGAGCGUUGUCCGGAAUUACUGGGCGUAAAGGGCUCGUAGGUGGUUUGUCGCGUCGUCUGUGAAAUUCUGGGGCUUAACUCCGGGCGUGCAGGCGAUACGGGCAUAACUUGAGUGCUGUAGGGGUAACUGGAAUUCCUGGUGUAGCGGUGAAAUGCGCAGAUAUCAGGAGGAACACCGAUGGCGAAGGCAGGUUACUGGGCAGUUACUGACGCUGAGGAGCGAAAGCAUGGGUAGCGAACAGGAUUAGAAACCCCGGUAGUCCCAUGAU
rnacentral:rRNA from 1 species